CUGGUCCCGUAGCUCAGUUGGUUAGAGCGCUGGUCUUAUGAGCCGGAGGUCGCGAGUUCGAGCCUCGCCGGGACCAG
rnacentral:tRNA from 1 species